GGUGAACGCUGGCGGCGUGCCUAAGACAUGCAAGUCGAACGGGCCUGAUUUCGGUCAGGCUAGUGGCGGACGGGUGAGUAACACGUGGGUGAUCUACCCCAAAGUCUGGGACAACUAGGGGAAACCUUAGCUAAUCCCGGAUGGUGAGGCUUCUCCUGUGAAGUCUCUAAAGAUUUAUCGCUUUGGGAUGAGCCCGCGGCGCAUCAGCUAGUUGGUGGGGUAAUGGCCUACCAAGGCGACGACGCGUAGCUGGUCUGAGAGGACGACCAGCCACAGG
rnacentral:rRNA from 1 species